UUGGGCAACUUUGAAUCGCAU
rnacentral:siRNA from 1 species